UGGCUGCAGAGUCCUCCCCAAGCUCCUCUGCCUCCUUCCACUCGGGCUGCCCCUCGGGGCCCUGGGGAGGCUCUUCUUCAGUGGCCAGGCUGCGAGGGGGACUCUGGGCCCGCUCCUCGUGUGGAAGUGGAGGAGAUAACCUCUCCUCCAGGCCUUUGGACUGCUUGCUCUGCAGCUCAUCUUGGCUGGACUGGCUGUCAUCCUUGUCUUCUAUUCCCAGUGGUUGCUGGGCCUGCCGACAAGCUCCACCCAGGACUGGGGAAAGCACAUCAACAUCCAGCAGGUGCUCCGAGAUCCG
rnacentral:lncRNA from 1 species